rnacentral:rRNA from 1 species
AUUGAACGCUGGCGGCAGGCCUAACACAUGCAAGUCGAACGAGUGGCGGACGGGUGAGUAAUGUCUGGGAAACUGCCUGAUGGAGGGGGAUAACUACUGGAAACGGUAGCUAAUACCGCAUACCAUCGGAUGUGCCCAGAUGGGAUUAGCUAGUAGGUGGGGUAAAGGCGCACCUAGGCGACGAUCCCUAGCUGGUAUGAGAGGAUGACCAGCCACACGGGAACUGAUACACGGUCCGAAAUCCGAAGGUAGGCAGCAGUGGGGAAUAUUGCACAAUGGGCGCAAGCCUGAUGUAGCCAUGCCGCGUGGAGUAAGAGUGCCUUCGGGUUGUAAAGUACUUUCAGCGCGGAGGCGUUACCCGCAGACGAAGCACCGGCUAACUCCGUGCCAUCAGCCGCGGUAAUUC